GACUAAGGGUAACGAACUCGACCAAGUCAGCACUUUACCGACUUGAUUCAACAUGUAGUCUACGUACAACCUGCGAGCCAGCUGAUGAUGUUCGGCACAUGGCCGACUAUCCGGCAUCCUAUCGACCUAACCAACAACUGGGUAGCACCACUCAGCGAAGUCAUUCGGCCUACUACUGAGUCCGAGGACACGGGCAUUAGCCGAAUAAUUGAACAUCAAGCAUGGCCGUCACGCUAUCCCAUCGGAUCAUAUCAAAUCUCAUCACCC
rnacentral:lncRNA from 1 species